rnacentral:rRNA from 1 species
UACGUAGGCAGCAAGCGUUGUCCGGAAUUAUUGGCGUAAAGAGCUCGUAGGCGGCUUGUCACGUCGGAUGUGAAAGCCCGAGGCUUAACCUCGGGUCUGCAUUCGAUACGGGCUAGCUAGAGUGUGGUAGGGGAGAUCGGAAUUCCUGGUGUAGCGGUGAAAUGCGCAGAUAUCGGAAGGAACACCAGUGGCGAAAGCGGCUUCCUGGUCCAGCACCGACGUUCAGGCACGAAAGCGUGGGGAGCAAACAGG